rnacentral:rRNA from 1 species
UAGGACCGGGAUAACACUGCAACGCGGUGCUAAUACCGGAUGUUGCCCGGAUGCCGGAGGGUAUUCGGGUGAAAGGCGGCUUUCGGGCUCGUGCCUGGGGAUGGGCCUGCGUCCCAUUAGCUUGUUGGCGGGGUAACGCCCACCAAGGCUGCGAUGGGUAGCCGAUCUGAGAGGGUGGACGGCCACACUGGGACUGGAUACGGCCCAGACUCCUACGGGAGGCAGCAGUGAGGGAUAUUGCGCAAUGGGCGAAAGCUGACGCAGCGACGCCGCGUGCGGGAUGAAGUUCUUCGGAGCGUAAACCGCUGUAUAGAGGAAGAGUGGGUCUGACUCGAAGAGGGUUGGAUCAGGGACGGUACCUUUAGAGAAAGCCCGGCUAACUCCGUGCCAGCAGCCGCGGUAACACGGGGGGGGCGAGCGUUGUCCGGAAUUUUGGGCGUAAAGGGCGCGCAGGCGGGAGAUCAAGUCUGAGGUGGAAUAAGUCGGCUUAACGGCUGAGGUCCUUGGAUACUGGUUUUCUUGAGUGCGGGAGAGGGAAGCGGAAUUCCUGUGUAGCGGUGAAAUGCGUAGAUAUCAGGAGGAACACCGGAGGCGGAGGCGGCUUCCUGGCCGUUACUGACGCUGAGGCGCGAAGGCGUGGGGAGCAAACAGGAUUAGAUACCCUGGUAUCCACGCGGUAAACGAUGGGUACUGGGUGUAGGUCGGAGACGAUCUGUGCCGGAGUUAAACGUUAAGUACCCCGCCUGGGGAGUACGGCCGCAAGGUUGAAACUCAAAUGAAUUGACGGG